GGGACGGUAGCUCAGCCUGGGAGAGCACACGACUGAAGCUCGUGGUGUCGAGAGUUCAAAUCUCUCUCGUCCCA
rnacentral:tRNA from 1 species